GGCCACGACUAGGCACAGACAUCCCCCGCCCCGAACUCUCUUCCCCAAACUACCCAUCCCAUCUCUCGCGAGAAAAAUUCCCUACCGCCGUCCAGAUCGGAGAUCACCUCGGCCUCCUCCACCACGCGCCCGCUUCCUCCCAUGGUCGUGUCCUCCCGACCCACCCUCCUCUUCGCUCACCACGCCGGCGCAGGCGGUCACGCGGGCGUCCAUUGAUCUGCAACUCUCACCGCCUUCAUAACGCUCAAGCGCCGCCCACGGAUAGACGAUGGCUUCAGCCGUGUCAACGAGGUCGAGGAGUCCCUUGACCUAGCCCUUGCCCUCACCUUCGUCGGAGGCCUCGCCCAUCUCGAUGGGGCUGGUUACUUAUCUCUCGGGGAUGCCCUGCCCUCCCCUGGCGUGCUGGGGACCGAUGAUGCCCUGCCUUCCCCUGGCGUGCUGGGGAUCUGGUGGCGCCCGUCGAACGUCGAGAGGUGGCACAGCCCCGCCACACACUUGUUCCUCCUCCUCAGGAUCCUCAAUUCCUCAUCUAAAAGGUUUUGCCUGCUUGUGAUAUUUCCCUCCUUCAUGGAUGUAUGGAACUGCGUGAAUGGGACAGCGAAGCCACUGUCAUGAAACUUGCAGAAUGAUGACAGAGAUAUCGAAAGAUUUUCUAAAAUGAGGUGUGAAAUAAAAGGCAAAUGUGAAGCUCUUGCAUCAAUCCUCAGACUGAUUCCUGCAAAUUUUCCUACAGAACUACAACAUGGUAGUCUUGAAGUAAAUACCAUUUCUUUUAUUUUCUAUGUGUUGUUAGCACAAUAGAUAGUUAAUAUUGUUUUUCCUCUCAAGUUCAAGAUGAAGACGACCAGUUAAGAAAACAGUUUGGUGAGAUAGAGUGGCAGGUUUGCUAGAAUCACUGUAGCUGCUUCUGCCGCAAACUUACGUUCAUGCCUAUGACAUCUUCUGGGAUCUUUGUUUUAGGAAACUAUUUUGUUUACACCUUCCUAUUGGCAUGUCUAUGGCAGCAGUGAAACUUAAACGAACACUUCUAGGCUAGAUAUUAUUAAUGUGUACAUAUAUUGGUCCUUUACAUGGAUCUUGCCAUCUUUAUUUGCCAGUCAUUUCAACUAUUUGACAAACUUGAAGGCAAGCUCAAGGAAAUGCAUCAUUACCUUUUAGUAUUAUUUUUGAGUUGUUGGAAUCAAUCUGGAAAACAUCUUCCUAUUGUAGAUACAAUAUUUGCUGGUUUGUAGUCUGAUACUCUGUUUGACAUUACAAAUUACGGAAAUACUUAGAUUAUGCUUAUGCCACUGUGCUGAUAGAGAUUGGCUACUUAAUAGUAUGGAGAUGACAAGAUCGAGAAGGACGGUGUUAUAAGGAAAGCGGGGAGUGGAGGAGGAAGAAAGUUGGGAUGCCAAUUAUAAAUAGGUUAAUACUUCAAAUCUUUAUGCACUGAGGUAUUCUUUGUGUUAGAAAUAAUUGUUUAAAAGGCUCAUGAUUUUGGCGAAACUGUAUGAUGUAUGUGUGCUCCUUCACAUGGACAAAUAUGAAAGGGUACCCAUUAUGAAAUCAUAGACCAGUGAUGUAUCAUUUCUUUGUCUUUCUUAUUGCAAAUAUGGCUCACAGGGCCGCGCUCUCAUUUGAUUUUGAUGAUGAUGAUGAUGAUGAUGAUGAUGAUGAUGAUGAUGAUGAUGAUGAUGAUGAUUGGAACCAAGAGGAGGAAGCAAGUAAGUUUCAUUUGAUUUUCUAUUCAUGAGGUUACAGUAACAAGAUAUGUAAAGUCUGGAUUGGUUUACUUAUCACUUGUAUGUCCCAUACUUGCAGUUUUUUAGUACUUUCGUCUUGUUGCCUCUCAGUGUAUCACUAAAUAAUCAGUGUUUUUGGGUACUUGCUUGUUGUUGCCUUUCAGUGUAUCACUAAAUAAUCAGUUGACCGGUGUUGGCAAUGUUGCAUCGAUCCUAUUUAUUUCUGGUUCUGUAUGCCUCCCAAGCUACAACUUAUACCCAAAAUUAUUAGCAUACAAAUUGGUAUCAGUUGUGGGAGACUCGGCCAUGCCGACAAUGCCUCCAAUGUGGUGGCGGUCAUGGUGGACGCCACCAUGUGAGCUUCAGCUCAUCGUGGUGUAGCCGGAGCGAUUUCCUUCGCUGUUGAAGUCCGGGAAGAUUUUUAUGUGAAUGCAAUCCUGUUUUGCUAGGUCCCUAGCAUUAUUAAUUUUAUUUUUCUGCCAAUAACAACCAAGUAAUGUGUGCAUGUCCACGUCUUGGAGUAAUUCUCGGUUAGUUAGAUCUGACCGCUGCAUGUGCUUCGUGGGAUGCCACGAAUCCAAUGCAAGCAGCGUUAUUGUCGUUGGGUUCAGGUGGACAUGGGAUGGUUCAUUUGAUAUACCUACUCACUAGCUACUUUCUCUCUUUUUCAGUAGCACUUGACCAUAUAAAUAAGAGAAAAAAACCAGAAAACGCUGCAAGAUUUUUACGCAAUGCAAAUUACUUGUCUGCGUGCUCGCGCGUGUUUAUACGUGCGCUUGUUCUUUUGUGUCCAAAUACUUGUGUAGUGUUGUGAGAGAGAUUCUGGAACUUCAGUUUUUGUCAUGCAGUUCCUUAAAACGUAUACAUCUCUUGCAUCCUUUAGAUACAUCAUGUGUACAGGUAUAUGUACAGGGAGCAAGUGCCACAUUGCUACAUUUAAUGCUUUGGUGUGCUCUCACGCUCCAUGCCAUUGUCCCACGCUCCAAACUGUAGAUAUUGACUAUGAUAUGAAAUUGUAAUUGCUCAUAAUUUAUAUUUUUGACACAAGGCAGGAGCCAAGAACAUCUAUGUGACAUGGAAGCUCUUAAUAAUGGUUAGCGUAUGGUUCGCAAGUUAUUUCUCUGGUUCAUCUCAAAUUGAGCGUCUUGAUACUUCAUAUGAAUAUUUGGUUGUAACAAAUUGUUUUCCGCAAGUCACAAUUUUUUGUAUGCAAGAAAUAUGUAUAAAAUUCCUCAAAGCAUUGUAGAUAAGCAGCUUCAUAUGUCUGAGUGUCUGAUAUGCCUUUCUUUUUCAGUUUUUCCUGCCAGCAAGAAAGCAAGUGACCUAUUUAAUCUCAGAGAUAUGUCCCAUUAUCAGUUUUGAGGAGUCAUUGUUCCAGUCACACAAAAUGUUGACAGAUGUAUCAUUUACAAUGACCAUUCAAUUGUAAUUUCAGUGCCAUGUCAUAAAAUUUCAAUUCACCAGUUCAACCCCUUCCAUAAGAUAUUGGAUCAACAGUUGGAAGUGAACCGUGCAAUACAUCACUCUAAUAUUAGUUAUAAUUGGCUGACCAUGUAGGAUGUACCGCUUGUGAUGUAUUACACUCCAUAUCUCCUUACAAUUUGUAGCGUGAAAUUUUUAUUCCUCUCAUUUGUCCAUUUUUUUGUUCUAUCUCUUAAACUGGUGAAUAGGAAGUUAUGUUGUUUCA